UAGGGAAUCUUCCACAAUGGACGCAAGUCUGAUGGAGCAACGCCGCGUGAGUGAAGAAGGUUUUCGGACCGUAAAGCUCUGUUGUUGGUGAAGAAGGAUAGAGGUAGUAACUGGCCUUUAUUUGACGGUAAUCAACCAGAAAGUCACGGCUAACUACGUGCCAGCAGCCGCGGUAAUCGUAGGUGGCAAGCGUUGUCCGGAUUUAUUGGGCGUAAAGCGAGCGCAGGCGGAAGAAUAAGUCUGAUGUGAAAGCCCUCGGCUUAACCGAGGAAUUGCAUCGGAAACUGUUUUCUUGAGUGCAGAAGAGGAGAGUAGAACUCCAUGUGUAGCGGUGGAAUGCGUAGAUAUAUGGAAGAAUACCAGUGGCGAAGGCGGCUCUCUGGUCUGCAACUGACGCUGAGGCUCGAAAGCAUGGGUAGCGAACAGGAUUAGAUACCCUGGUAGUCCAUGCCGUAAACGAUGAGUGCUAAGUGUUGGGCAGGCUUCCGCCUCUCAGUGCUGCAGCUAACGCAUUAAGCACUCCGCCUGGGGGAGUACGACCGCAAGGUUGAAAC
rnacentral:rRNA from 1 species